CCUACGGGUGGCAGCAGUGAGGAAUAUUGGUCAAUGGCCGAGAGGCUGAACCAGCCAAGUCGCGUGAGGGAAGACGGCACUACGGGUUGUAAACCUCUUUUGUCGGGGAGCAAAGCGAGUCACGUGUGACUCAUUGAGAGUACCCGAAGAAAAAGCAUCGGCUAACUCCGUGCCAGCAGCCGCGGUAAUACGGAGGAUGCGAGCGUUAUCCGGAUUUAUUGGGUGUAAAGGGUGCGCAGGCGGAAUUUUAAGUCAGCGGUAAAAUCGUGGGGCUCAACCCCGUCCAGCCGUUGAAACUGGGGAUCUAGAGUGUGCGAGAGGUAUGCGGAAUGCGUGGUGUAGCGGUGAAAUGCAUAGAUAUCACGCAGAACCCCGAUGGCGAAGGCAGCAUACCGGUGCACAACUGACGCUCAGGCACGAAAGCGUGGGUAUCGAACAGGAUUAGAUACCCCUGUAGUC
rnacentral:rRNA from 1 species